rfam:Volvox carteri f. nagariensis unplaced genomic scaffold VOLCAscaffold_6, whole genome shotgun sequence.
AAUCCGGUGUUUUUCAACACCACCUAAAUCUAAUGGAUCUUUUUAG